rnacentral:rRNA from 1 species
GAACGCUGGCGGCGUGCCUAAUACAUGCAAGUCGAGCGAACAGACGAGGAGCUUGCUCCUUUGACGUUAGCGGCGGACGGGUGAGUAACACGUGGAUAACCUACCUAUAAGACUGGGAUAACUUCGGGAAACCGGAGCUAAUACCGGAUAACAUGUUGAACCGCAUGGUUCAACAGUGAAAGACGGUCUUGCUGUCACUUAUAGAUGGAUCCGCGCCGCAUUAGCUAGUUGGUAAGGUAACGGCUUACCAAGGCAACGAUGCGUAGCCGACCUGAGAGGGUGAUCGGCCACACUGGAACUGAGACACGGUCCAGACUCCUACGGGAGGCAGCAGUAGGGAAUCUUCCGCAAUGGGCGAAAGCCUGACGGAGCAACGCCGCGUGAGUGAAGAAGGUCUUCGGAUCGUAAAACUCUGUUAUUAGGGAAGAACAAAUGUGUAAGUAACUAUGCACGUCUUGACGGUACCUAAUCAGAAAGCCACGGCUAACUACGUG